rnacentral:rRNA from 1 species
GAUGAACGCUGGCGGCGUGCCUAAUACAUGCAAGUCGAGCGAACGGACGAGAAGCUUGCUUCUCUGAUGUUAGCGGCGGACGGGUGAGUAACACGUGGAUAACCUACCUAUAAGACUGGGAUAACUUCGGGAAUCCGGAGCUAAUACCGGAUAAUAUUUUGAACCGCAUGGUUCAAAAGUGAAAGACGGUCUUGCUGUCACUUAUAGAUGGAUCCGCGCUGCAUUAGCUAGUUGGUAAGGUAACGGCUUACCAAGGCAACGAUGCAUAGCCGACCUGAGAGGAUGAUCGGCCACACUGGAACUGAGACACGGUCCAGACUCCUACGGGAGGCAGCAGUAGGGAAUCUUCCGCAAUGGGCGAAAGCCUGACGGAGCAACGCCGCGUGAGUGAUGAAGGUCUUCGGAUCGUAAAACUCUGUUAUUAGGGAAGAACAUAUGUGUAAGUAACUGUGCACAUCUUGACGGUACCUAAUCAGAAAGCCACGGCUAACUACGUG